UGUCUUUGGUUAUCUAGCUGUAUGAGUGUUAUUAAGCCAUCAUAAAGCUAGAUAACCGAAAGUAGAAAUGACUUCCAACCCUUCCUGGAGCUGGGAAGCCAAUGGACCAGGAGAGACGUGGAGCCAGACGCAGUAUGGACCUUGGAGCAGAGCAAGAUUAUCCCCAGAUCAUCUCCGAUCUUCUGCCAAGGAUUCGCCGGAGUCCUUCCAGACCCAGACGUGACUGAAAGUUCAUGGAGUGGGAUGCAAUGGGAAGAGACAGGACAUCUCUGGGCGAGCAAGGAGAGCCUGUGUGACGUUCUGCAGCAAAGAUAAGAAACUUCCCAUUCGGCACAAGCAGCACAAGAGAGAAAGGUGGAGAGUCGCUCCUCCCCGGUUAACCUCCCCUUCCCAGUCCCCUCUGGUAUUCUCCCCUCUCCCCGAGACCAUCAACUCAGCGUGGGGCCCUCAACAAACAAGAGCUGGAGGAGGAGGACAAAAAGAGAGGCAGAAAGAGGGAGAAGGGCAGCCCUGUGAAGACAUACUCUGCCACACCGGGCCAUUUUUGCUGCAGUUUGUAGGCUGCUAGGUGCCAGGAAGCCAUUUUGAUGGAAUCAAGUGCUGUUUGUAAGAUGGCCGCAUUGGCACGAGAUUCCCGUGACUGGCGCAUGGCAAGCGGUUAGACGCCUUCGGUUUCUUUGUUAAACUUCACCACAGAUGAAAACCGCCGGGGACUUUUCGCGUCACACACAACUACUCAUCGAUCAAUGUACCGGGCAGUUAUUUUACAAAUGGCCCAGAGAAGAGGCUGCUUUGGACACUGGACCUCGAGGGCUUUCGGGAUUGCAGUUGAAGAGGGUGAGGUGUGUGGAGCAGGAGAAAACUUUGAUUUGCUGUCAAUUGUACAAUGAAUGCAUCACUGGUGAAUAUUUUGCGGUCAACUUUGCUGCUCUGUAACCCCAGGAUAUCACAGUCCUCCUCGCUCUCCUGUCCAAACUGCCCUGCCUAGCCAGGGAGAGACCGGAAAGCAAAUGCCUCGACUGGGAAAAAAAUCGAUUGCAUGUCUGACUGUAGGCGUGUGAAGUACUGAGGAAGCACCACUGGACUCAAUGUGGAAAAGUUUGGUCUUUAUUUUGCUUUGUUGCACUGAGAACGGCACCGUAUUAAUGCCCGAGACAACUGUACCUUCUGUGUGUUUGUAAAAACUGCCCAUAGUGACAAGAUUCCCUGUUAUUACAGAAUACCCUGUAUAUGUAGGGCAGUAUUUUCACUAAGGCUUGAGGGGCGCGUGUCUGCCCCCCACCUCCCGCAACUUAUUUUAUCCCUCUUUUUGAAUAGAAACUGAUUCUUCAACGCAAACUUAUUCUUACGGUGCAAACAUGCCCAACUGUGGCUGUGUAGAUGUGUUUCAGAUGUCUUUAUUCUUGUAAAAGACACAUCCGCUUCCCCCCCCCCCACACACACCACCACUUGUUUAAACAAAGCGAUGGUUAAAAUAAACAAUUCACUUAUCAAGA